AUAAAUAUAUAUACAUAUAUAGAUAUAUAUUUUUUAUACAUAUAUCAUAGAAUUGGAAUUCUGUCACAAUGCGUACAGCAUUAUUUGCAGUCAUUGUUGCUAACAUUGUGUGUGCCUUCGAUGCAUUAAUGUUUGAAGAUAUGUUAUUGAGCAGCAUGUGACUAAUAUAAAUAUAUUUACUAAUCUAUCUACAGCGAUUGUAACAUAUAUAAAAUUAAAGGAUGUAUCUAGUCUAAAAGAACCAUCAUAUAUAGUAUGUAAUAUAUGUAUUUGUAUAUUAUAUAAAUUUUAAGUUGCCUAAUUUUUUAUUUAUGUUUUGCCGCAGAAUGAAUUUAUAGGGGAAAACAAAGCAUUUAGUAAUAUAAGUCUAAAAAUGAUAACGACCUCACUUGCAAACGGCGCUGAAGAUAGAUCGAUAAGGAAUGAAUUGAUGUCUUUUUGGAAUAUUAUUGAUAAAAUAUGUUUAAACGAUAUAUACCUAUCUGAAUUUACUUUCUUAAAUGUACGAUAAAGAAUUAAAGAAAUAUACUAUAGUACAAAAUUAUAAUACAAAUUAUAUGUAAAUUAUAUGUUUUAGGAUAUCAAAAACAUCGAGUUACAUCUAGAAAAUCAAGAAACAACAAAUAAUCAGAUAUUACACGUAAUUUCUCCAGGUAUAUUGUGUAAAUCAUUUGACUAACAAUAAAAUAUAAAUAAAUUAUAAUUUAUGCAAAGUACAUUUUUAACAACAAAAUACUUUAUAUGAAUAGAUAAUAUCGACGAGGAUACGUAAAUUAUUGAUAAAUACUAUGUACCUUAAUAUUGGAUGGCCAACCAUCCCAAAAGAAAAAACAGUGGAACGCAUAUUUUAUGUUUCUUCGUCAGAAAUGUAUUUUGUUCCAACAAUUAAAUUUAAAAAAUCGAUGUUUAGUUAUGGUGAAAUACCACAUUGGAAUUGCAAGUUCAUUGAAAUUCCAUCUUUGAAUGACAAAAUCACAAUGAUUAUAUUUUUGCCAA